rnacentral:rRNA from 1 species
UACGAAGGGGGCUAGCGUUGCUCGGAAUUACUGGGCGUAAAGCGCACGUAGGCGGCUUCUUAAGUCGGGGGUGAAAUCCCGGAGCUCAACUCCGGAACUGCCUUCGAUACUGGGAAGCUUGAGUUCGGGAGAGGUGAGUGGAACUGCGAGUGUAGAGGUGAAAUUCGUAGAUAUUCGCAAGAACACCAGUGGCGAAGGCGGCUCACUGGCCCGAUACUGACGCUGAGGUGCGAAAGCGUGGGGAGCAAAC